rnacentral:rRNA from 1 species
AGCAGCCGCGGUAAUUCCAGCUCCAAUAGCGUAUAUUAAAGUUGUUGCAGUUAAAAAGCUCGUAGUUGAAUUUCGGGAUUGGCGUGUCGGUCGUGCCUUAAGGGGUAUGAACUGGCGUCGUCGAUUUCUCACCUUCUGGAGAAACUCGAUGUCCUUAAUUGGGUGUCGUGCGGAACCAGGACCUUUACCUUGAAAAAUUAGAGUGUUUAAAGCAGGCAUUUUGCUCGAAUACAUUAGCAUGGAAUAAUAAAAUAGGACGGUUGGUUCUAUUUUGUUGGUUUCUAGGAUCACCGUAAUGAUUAAUAGGGAUAGUUGGGGGCAUUAGUAUUCAAUUGUCAGAGGUGAAAUUCUUGGAUUUAUUGAAGACUAACUACUGCGAAAGCAUUUGCCAAGGAUGUUUUCAUUAAUCAAGAACGAAAGUUAGGGGAUCGAAGACGAUCAGAUACCGUC